ACUCCUGCGGGAGGCAGCAGUGGGGAAUAUUGCACAAUGGGCGCAAGCCUGAUGCAGCCAUGCCGCGUGUAUGAAGAAGGCCUUCGGGUUGUAAAGUACUUUCAGCGGGGAGGAAGGCAAUACGGUUAAUAACCGUGUUGAUUGACGUUACCCGCAGAAGAAGCACCGGCUAACUCCGUGCCAGCAGCCGCGGUAAUACGGAGGGUGCAAGCGUUAAUCGGAAUUACUGGGCGUAAAGCGCACGCAGGCGGUCUGUCAAGUCGGAUGUGAAAUCCCCGGGCUCAACCUGGGAACUGCAUUCGAAACUGGCAGGCUUGAGUCUUGUAGAGGGGGGUAGAAUUCCAGGUGUAGCGGUAAAAUGCGUAGAGAUCUGGAGGAAUACCGGUGGCGAAGGCGGCCCCCUGGACAAAGACUGACGCUCAGGUGCGAAAGCGUGGGGAGCAAACAGGAUUAGAAACCCGAGUAGUCC
rnacentral:rRNA from 1 species